rnacentral:lncRNA from 10 species
AGACAGCUGCUCAAGGGUCCAGUAUGUCUGUGUGUUUUCCCAGGGGACUGCCGAAUGGCCGAUGCCGAGCAGAAGCUGAUGGGUGACCCUCUGAACAAAACCCGUUACAACAACGUGAUCCGCCCGGACACCAGCUCCUCACAGCUCAUCUCCAUCGAGACGGAGCUCUCCCUGGCCCAGUGCGUCAGUUGGGUUAGAAGCCCUCCCCUGGAAGCGGCUCUGAGGGGAGCAGUCACAUGUGGAGAGUGCAGGGCACUGUGUCCAGCCAGGGGAAGGAGGACACCAAGGGGGUUGCCCCUCCUCUGGCCAGGUGGCUGCCUUCUGACACACCAGCCUCUCUCUCUAGCACGGUGGCCCCCACACCCAGCCUGUCAAACCUACAGCCCUCAAGGCGGCUUUGGCCAAAUGAAUGAACAGCUCCGUCUCCCAGGAGGAAGCACAGCUGAAGGAUGCAGAGGGCAGUAGAGUUGUGGAUGCUCCGCCCCCGCCCCUCCACAGUCGGACCAGAAAGAAGGGGGCUUUCAGCCAGGCUCACCCAGGCUGGGGUCUGAGUGUCACUGUCCAGCUGUUGGCCUCUUGCUCAACAGGUGAGCCCAGCUGCUCCUGUGCAGCUGCCACCCCGGUGAGGGUGAACCAGCAGGCGAGUG